rnacentral:rRNA from 1 species
GUGUCGAGUAAAUAACUGCACAGUUGAUCUGCGUACAGCUCAUUACACCAGUCGUAAUCUACCUGCAUGAAUGACUCUGUCAUCGAGUGGAUAACUUCAGUAACUCCGAAGCUAAUACAUGGACGAGAAAUCGAGUAGCCAUCAAGCACAAAGAGUAACAUCCGAGUGUGGCUUCACGAUGCUUUUGGUCGUAAUAGAAACUGGUCAAUCAGAUUGAAUCUAUUGUGGCAUCAGACCAUUCUGUACAAGGAAACCGUUGCUUGCAACAUUCCGUAUGCGGUUGAGCGACUGACCUAUCAGCUUGUUUGCAAUGUAUUGGACUGCAGAGGCUUUGACGGGUAACGGAGAAUCAGGGUUCGAUUCCGGAGAGGGAGCCUGAGAAACGGCUGCCAUGUCUAAGGACAGCAGCAGGCGCGCAAAUUGCCCAAUACUAGCAUGAGCGAGGCAGCGACGAGAAGUAUUUACCUUGUGCGACAUUGUUGCACGAGGAUAGAAAUGGGUGAUAUCCAAAACCAUCACUGAGGAUCGAUUGGAGGG